ensembl:snoRNA U3 Small nucleolar RNA U3
AGGUGCCCAGGGAUCAUUUCUGUAGUUCAUUACUAGAGAAGUUUCUCUGAACAUGUAGAGUACCUACAACCACAGGGAGGAGGUGCAGUGUCCUUUCCUGAGUAUGAAGCUGGCUUUGGUGUUGCUUUUACAGCUGCUUUUUACCCUUGGUGAUGGUUCUUUUCCUCCUUUGAGCGAUUAAGAAGAAAGGGACAUGGUCUGGGUGGC